rnacentral:lncRNA from 1 species
GCCAGGUUUCUUGGUUCCAUCUUGUUCUUUUCAGAGUUCUCUGCUACUGUCUUGAGAUGUGCAGAAAGAAACUUGAGCGUCUCAUAAUGAUGUUCAGGUAAAUCAUGAAUCAGCCUCUUCAGUGUUUUCAAACGUUCAACUGGAUCUUCUUUUCUAUUGGCAUCUAUAAAAUCUGCAUAUUUGUCAUUGGUGAAAAGGGGUUCUGGGAGCUUUCUGAAGAAGGACUUCAGCAAACUGCUUAUGACAUUCAAGUCUCGCCAUUUCUAAACGUUUAGAAGAAAAGGAGAUAGUCUUUGUAUUUCU